rnacentral:rRNA from 1 species
UACGUAGGUGUCAAGCGUUGUCCGGAUUUAUUGGGCGUAAAGCGCCCGCAGGCGGCUUGCCAAGUUCGAUGUGAAAUCUCCCGGCUCAACUGGGAGGGUGCAUCGAAAACUGGCAGGCUUGAGGCAGGGAGAGGGAUGUGGAAUUCCAGGUGUAGUGGUGAAAUGCGCAGAUAUCGGGAGGAACACCCGUAGCGAAGGCGGCACUCUGGGCCGGAACUGACGCUGAGGAGCGAAAGCGUGGGGAGCAAACAGG